rnacentral:misc_RNA from 1 species
AAAAUGCGAUAAGUAAUGUGAAUUGCAGAAUUCAGUGAAUCAUCGAAUCUUUGAACGCACAUUGUGCCCGCCAGUAUUCUGGCGGGCAUGCCUGUCUGAGCGUCAUUUCAACCCUCGGGACCCCGUUCGCGGGACCCGGCGUUGGGGAUCAGCCCGAAGCCCCCCGGGGCGGGCGGCUGGCCCCGAAAUCUAGUGGCGGUCCCCCCAGCGACCUCCUCUGCGCAGUAGUAACUCACCUCGCAGCUGGACAGCGGGAGGGCCACGCCGUAAAACCCCCAACUUCUCAAAGGUUGACCUCAGAUCAGGUAGGAAUACCCGCUGAACUUAAGC